AGGUGGUGGAGCUGCUACAGAUACAGUUGGGAGGACAGAGACCCAAGAGGAGUUCACAACUGAGAAGGAAGAAGAAAGACACCAAAUAACACCAAACCAGAUGUGCUCUGAGAAGUGCUAGUCUACAGAAACAGCAGAAGAGGGGUGAAAGCCAAGUGGGGCAUCUGAAAAACCUUGUGGGACCGUUGAGAUAUGAGAUUUAGGAUGUCGUGGCUAGAAAUACGGGAACAGGGCAUACAGAGGAGAAGCAGAUGAGUGAUGCCAGCCAAACUAUGUGCGGUCUAGGGAGAAGGAAGAGGUCAGCUGGACCCUGA
rnacentral:lncRNA from 1 species